GGGGGCAUAGCUCAGCUGGGAGAGCAACAGACUGAAGUCAAUGAAUAGCGCAGGCGUUCUGGAGGUCCCCGGUUCAAUCCCGGGUGCCCCCA